AGUCGAAGCCCAACAAGAAAACCCUCACAAGCAGAUAACACACUAAACACUUAACAUAAAAUUAAGCCUUCAACAAGCUAUACAUAUACGACCAUGUCGUCCCAGGUGCUUUACCAAGCCCUGGGUACACGGUCUAUACCGUAAGGAUAUCCCAGGUAUCCCUUGGGGUCUCGCCCUGGAAACUCUCACUUCGCGUGCUAAACGCUGCUCCCGGCCCCUUUCCGUUCUCGGCCUUUGCCGUUCCCGGCCUUCGCCGUUCCCGGCCUUUUCCGUUCCCGGCCAUCACCGCUUUAUCAUUUAUAUACACACAUUAUAUAUAACUAAACAGAUAUUUAAACACAUAUAAAUGCAAUCAAAGGGCCACGCCCUGCAACACAGUUAUAUAGGGUCGAGCCUUGCAACUUAAUCAUAUAGGGUCAAGCCCUGCAACAAAAGCUCUAUGGGAACAGUAGUUUCCUUACUUGUGUCCCAAGCUUUCCAAGCACCGAUGUCUCGAGCACAGUUCCCUAGUCCGAGCCUCACCGAAACCCUAGUCACAACGCAUUAACAAUUUCCACCCAUCAUGUUCUAAUCCAUUAAAUAGCUUUGGGUCAUAAUUCUAAUCUCUGGAACGUUGAAUUCUAUCAAUCCGGGUGAUAGAAUCCAUCCCGAGCCUUAACUGUUGAAUUUCCGAGCCUAAAACCUCUUAAAAACCCAAAAAUGCACUGAGUGCCGCGGCCCUAAGCUCAAAUAGAGGCUCAAUCUCUUUUCUGCCAACACGCGCCGCGACCCUACUAUAGGGUGCCGCGACACGCCCCUUCUAUCAGGUCACACCAUUGUUCUAAAAGGUUGCGGCUCAGCAAGAACAGGGCCAUGGCCCAACCCUUCGAACCCAGAAAAUUCCUCCAUUUUCUCUCCUAAAACCAAGCCAAUUAUCCAUAAAAGUCAACCUAACUAUCCAAACAUUCAUCACAGAAAUUCUAACACAGCCGUAGCAUCAAAACCUAACAGAAACUAGCCUCAAAGCUCAACCAAACACUCAAGAGCAAUUCACCACUUACUCACAUGAAAACUCUGAAAAUACCAACAGCUAUUCAGUACAAUUUACUAAGAUUAAAGCUUACCUUGAACUGAGUUAGAUCCCUGGAUUAAUUCCCUAAGCUCCAAGCCACUAGCUCCCAAAAUCCCAGCUCCACUUCUUAGUCUUUGGUUGAUUUCACCAAGAGUUCUCCCAUGCUUCCAAUGGAGAGAAAAUCUUCAAAAGAGAUGUGAAGGAAGAGACAGGGUCGGUUUAGAGAAAUCUUGGGGUUUCCUAUAUUUUGUUUUAUUUAACUUAAGUCUAAGAGGUUACCUCAAGGCUCGGGGUGCCAAAAACGUCCACGGGGGCAAAAUGGUAAAUUUCCCCAAUACUCCCUCCUAGGCAUUCUAACGUCGAAUAUAUCUCAAAAUAUUUACUUCUGUAACCCGAUAACCCCAUAAGAUUUCUAAUACCCAAAAUACCCCUCGACUCGCCCCGAGUCCGAUUUUCGACCCUGUUGUGACUUUCUAACUAACUGCUCCCUAGGACUGUCUUGGAUCACGCAAUACAGAUAUAUCGCAGGUAUAUCACAAUUAUUACAUUUAUGCCCUCAAUAGGCUAAAAUUGCAUUCAUGCCCCUAAUAUCCAGACGGGGCCCACAUGCAUAUUGAAUUCACCUAAACAUGCAUCACUAAUUACAUAUUCACAUAAAUUCCCAUAUUAUAACAAUAAUUCACUUAUUGCCCUCCUGGCACGCUAAUCAAGCCCUAAGCCUUAUUAGCAAAUUUGGGUCGUUAUAAUGACAUCACCUUCUGAACUACACAGUAGGGACUUUUGGACUUCUGCUGCAAUAAACCAUGCCUACCCACUACUCAAGUACUGGACACGUGGAACCCUACAAUUAGCAUCUGUUCGCGUUUUGAGGACUGCAAUAAUUGUCUUGUCACCUUUUUGUUAUUGUUUUGUCUUUUGAAACAUAGCCCUUUGAUUUUGUAUAGACCAAAUCAGAUGGCUCAAAUUGAUCUAUGUCGUUUACGUAUCAAUAAGGUAGGCAAUUUUCACAGUUCACCACCUUUUAUUGGAAAUCUUUCUACAUCUUCUCUCUUCUGCAUUUUCAAACCCUUCUUCUUUCUCAGAGAAAACCCGAAAACCAUCUGUUGCAAAAACUCUCAGAAACCCAGUUACUCAGAGUCUUCCAGGAACUCUCCCCUUCAAAGUCUACUUCUUUUAUCGAUGAACACACUGUAAGUCUUUUUGUUUUGAAGAAACUUUUCUUUUAUUGAUUUCUGUGUUUUCUUUAUCAUGCUCAUCCACACUUUACUGUAGUCAAUAUUAGGUUGUUUUCUCAAUGUUUUUGGCACAUAGGCUUCGACUUAGGUUUACUAAGUAGGUCUUAAAAUAUCUCUUAAAACUAUGAUAUUCAUAAAACUGGGUAAUUUCUGGGUAAAUCUAGGUAAUUUAUGGUGAAUUUUAGGAAAUACCCAUUCGGGAUAUAGAAGAUGAAAAGUUUUUAGGGUUCGAAACCUGGUUUCUUAGGGGACACGCUUCUUGUGUGGUUAAUUGCCCCCAAGGAUAGUAGUGGCCUGAUUUUUUGACACACGGAUCCCUAAACAUCAGGGUUCUGUUAGGAAAUCGAGGCGCGUAGUGUAGGGUAGCGUGUGGCAUCACGCAACGGGCUGAGACUAACUCAGCUCGUAUAUCAGAGACAUCAUUCUCCUUCGUACUUCUGUGUCAUAACCUUUACAAACUCUUAGGUUGCCAACUAAGUAACUCGUCAUUCUUGUUCAUUAGGCGAUCUGAUGGCACCCAAGAAGAAUGCAUCAAAGAAGAAUGCACCCAGGUUGUUUGCUCAACAAACGAACAAAGGGAAAGAGAUUGCCUUAGAAUCUCCCCUUCCUCACUUUGGCCCAGUGGUGGAGAGGGAAGUUGUGGUUGACCCCAAUGCUUUCUUCGAGGCGGAGACAAUCGCUUCCAAGAUUACGAUGCACGGAAGGGUCAACAAAAUUAUGUUGAGCCAUAAAAUUAAGGUCGGGUCCGGAGUCCUUAUUGCCUGACCUCCGUUUGAAGGGGAACGGAGCUGCUCCCCUCUCCAGGAUGACUUCGCAGCCUGGAGUGAUGAGCAUUUGAAGGCGGGGGCCUUUCUUCCCCUGGAUCAAUAUUUUGCCGACUUCCUGAAUUAUGUGAAGUUGGCACCUUUUCAGCUCCCCCAAAAUUCUUACAGGCUCUUGGCGGGGCUGAAAUACUUAUUUUUGAAGCACGAGUGGGAGGUCCCCACUCCGGCAGAUAUACUAUACUUUUUUUGCCUUAAAGCCAACCCAAAACAAAAGGGUUGAGGUGACAGAUUCUAUUACCUCACCAGAUACCUAAACUCUGCUUCGGUCAUCGAGCUCCCAAGCCACCCCAACGACUACAAAGACCAAUUCUUUAUGUCGAAAAGGUUAUGAAACUGUGAGCAUCGAUACUUCAACCAUCCUCGUAAGUUUUUUUUUCACUGAUCUCAGCUCGUAAAAUUAUUCUCUUUUCAAGACAUUUUCCUUGCACAUGUGCUAAUUGAGUUUAUUUUUUGAGCAGCCAUAUUCGCGAGGAUGGGGAAGUCAGUGACCCUCGGGGGUCAAUAUACAACAUUUUUUGGGCUCCGACCCAGCAAGAAGGAAUACCGCCAACUCAUGAAUGACACCACGAUGUUGGCGUGUAAGUUGAUUGGCAAAGGUCAGACAUUGGCAUUAAGAAGGACCCAGGCUCCCCUUCCGGUAAUCCCUGAGCUCCCGCUUUCUCAAGAAGAGGACUCACCAGCCACCGAAGGUGAGGAGCAAGAAGAGGACGAGGUGCCUCUUGUGCGAAAGAGGCGGGUUCCUAAGGCUGUUCGGGAACCUGAUUUAGAACGAGUUGCGUCAAGGGCAGCAGUCGACCCCUCCGGCCAAGGUAACUCAUACCCUUAUAGGGAACUAGAUAGGGUUGCUGCCAAUUUUAGGUUAGUUAGAUUUAACCCAAAUCAGCUCGUCCAUCCCCACCCUAACAAUCCAGACUGUAAUGUCACUCUGCUCCAGUGUGUGGAUCACUUAGUGUUCCGCCAUGAUACUAGUUACCCUAAGGGCACCAUUGUUGUAGAUAACACCUUAAAUUUUAUGUCCGCCAUUUUUUAGGAGUAUGGGACCAAUCGUAGGUCAUGGCCUUCCUUGCUCCAGGGCGCCUUCGCCCCUGGAUUUAGGCAGUAUGUAGAUGAGUCUAGCCCUGAGGUAGAACCUGAGCCCGAACCUCCUAGGGUCCAAGAAAUACUAGACUUUGAUUCUCCUUCUCCUCCAGUAGUCCCAAGGCCAUAGGUCGUGAUAAUAGACAUCUCCCCCAGCCCAGAGGGCGACAAGAUGGAACAACCCGGAGCUCCUGACCUAUGUACAGCUUUCCAUGGUGGGAAAUCCGGCUCGAGCCCUGUCGUGAAGAGGCCUUGGUAUACAAAGAAAGCCCCUCCUAUAGCAGGAAAUACCUCAAAAUCCCCUACUAAGGGGAAAGGCACGAGCUCGACAGCUCUGGCGUCUACUAUCACCGAGAAGAGGAUUCCUCAUCCUCCCCCUUGACCUUGGUUCGCGUCUUCUCGGGAUCAGGUAAUACAAGCUGAUCCCCCAACUCCUCCUGCCCCAGCUGCUACUGUUCGUAUACCAGUUGAUCCCCAAGAUUUGGAGAAGAUCCCCGAAGUCUUUUGGGGAAUCCUCUACGAGAUGGUGAGCCACAUGGUGGGGCAGGCUUACAGAGCCAACUCGAGGGACUUGAGGACGAUCGAGGAGUGGAGCCUGGAGAACAUCCUGGAUUCAUCCUUGAGGAUGACCCUCACACACCGCAGCAUAGCCCGAGCUCAGGCUAGAAAUGAUGAGCUCCAGGGCAAACUCAAUGCCGCCAAGACCGCCUUGACCGCUGCUCAAGAAGGCGAGCAAGCUGCCAAAGCUAUCUUUGUGGCUACUCAAAAGAGAAAGUAUGAUGCAAAGUUUGCCCUUGCCUCGUCUCAGGAAAGCGAGCAGGCUGCAAAGAUUGCCUUGGCUGCUCUCCAAGCCCAAACUGCCCAGCUCCAGGGCGAGGUUGCUGAGGCCAAAGCAAAACAGCUAGAGGCUGAGGCUGCAGUUAAAGAAGAGAAGGCGGUCUCACUGUCCUCCAUGGAAGAUAUGCUGUACCAUUGCUGGGCUUUUAACCAGGAUGGCAACUUUUCUUUCAUGGCUCCCGCACUGUGGGAUCCAUAACUUGAAAAAUUCAAGACCUGGAUCUUGCAAAAGCCGUCGAAAAUGGGGGAUGCUUCUACAACGGGCGAGCACGAAGGCGAGGAGGUCACGUCCUUAGAGAAUCCUGGAGGGGCUCAAUGAUUCUUUUUGUUUUUUUAUAUUUGUUUGUAAACAAUUUCCAUUGGGCUUAGUUCGAGGCUUUUCUCCUCAGGAAAAAUUUAAUUUCAAUUUAUAUAUCUAACUUUUAAUUUAUAUGUAUUUUCCUUGAUUAUCUCUCAUGUUUAUGACUUCUUAGACUCGUACAUUCGAGAAUUUAGGAAUCGAUUUUUAGAUCGGGAUGAAUAUUUUAAGCUCAGUUAUAUCCAAACUUAAUGUGUUGAUUUAUAUCAUACCUAUUAAGA